rnacentral:misc_RNA from 1 species
AAGUCGUAACAAGGUUUCCGUAGGUGAACCUGCGGAAGGAUCAUUGAGAAUUUUGGGUGAACUUGUGAGUCCUUCUUUCCCUUUGGGGGGAGGGGGGCUUGCAUUUUCUUUUUUGUGAACUGUUUUUUUGGGUUUUUUUGAUAAUUGGGUACUUUGUAUUUUUUUUAAAAAGUUUCUUUAUAGACAACUUUCAGCAAUGGAUCUCUAGGCUCUU